UCCUCGCAAUGGCAGCUUGUCGGGAAGAGUUCUAGCUCGUAAAACAGGAGAGCCAGCUUCUGCUUCAGCUCUGCCAUUAACAGCUUUGGGGCCUUGGGCCUCAGUCUCCCAUAUUUAGGUUGGGAUGGAGGCGAGGAAACUGAGGCCCAGAGAGGAGACUGGUGGGUCUGAGCUGAUUUGAAACCAGAACUCCUGACUCUCAGGCAUGCCUUCUUCCUGCAGCAAAUGCCAUCUCAUUGGCCCUGUACCUUGAUGAAGGGGAAACUGAGGCCCAGAGAAGGACAUGAGUUGCUCAGACUCUCCUCCCGGACCUUACCUCAGUAAACAGCCUGAGCUGCUUCUGACCCUGCAGGGGUCUCAUGGCCCCUGAGGUAGAGGCCCCUUUGGAACAAGGCUCUCUGGGCUGCCCAGGACUCACAACCGCACUGCAGCUGCCCCUGUUUGUGGAUUGGGCUCUCGGCAACAGACUUGAACCAGGAUUUGAGGGCAUGGAGUUUAUUUGCAAGGAGCCCGCACUGCCCUCCCUGACCCUGGACAGCGCCCUGCUGGCCGGGGCUGGGAAAUUCGCCACUUCCGGGUGUUUCGUUCAAGGUCCAUGUGAGUACUGCAUCUGUGAUGUGUUUGUUCUUCAGAUCGGUACGGUUUGUAAUGACUUAUUAAUUACGAAGUGGCUGUUCUGCCUGUAAAUAAAGCAAGACAUUCAGAGGUUAU